CGAGCAACAAGUUGUCGAGAGGGCGGAGGAUCUCCUGUCUAAUCUCCAGAAACUCGCAGAUGAGAAGGAAAAUGAUGCCGUCCCCGAGAUGGAUGAGGAAGGAUUUAUCAAGAAGGAAGGUUGUGAAGACCAUGAGGAGGGAGACGAGUGGGGUACAUCUGACCAUGACAACUGUAACUGCCAAGGACCAUAUCGUUUUUGCUAUCAUGUUGACUGCCUUCCUGGUUCUGAGAUCACCCGUGACUCCAAAGGUCUCUGGGACUGUCCAGGCGGUU